ensembl:snoRNA SNORD36 Small nucleolar RNA SNORD36
UUGCAGUGAUGUGAAUCUCUCACUGAAUUACGCCAUGAGGUGUGAAUCCAUGAGCUUUUUAACCCUGAGCAAU